CGAAGUUUUACGACCAGUUCGUCGAUUUUGAGUAAUUCGGCAAAUUCAAGCGCUCGGCUGAAUCGAAGCGAAUUCAGCUCGUUUCGCAAGAUUCCUAGCAGCUACAUUCUCAGAAAGAGAAUUCUACGUUUCUUGCAUUCUAACGUCUCAUGCAAAAGGUAUUUGUGCAACGAGGACGAUUCGAAACGAAAGCUUUCAAUACAUUACCGAUAACGUUGGCUUCUUUCGCUUGCUACGAAUUGCGAAAAGGACAGAAGAAAAAAUACCUUGCAACUCGUAUGGAAAGAGUUACAUGGUCCAAAUAAAUUAUAGCGGCAAGGUGAUAAAUCUGGGUCAUCAGGAGAAUGUGAAGUAAAGUUUUGACAGUGAUUGAAUAGUUCUCCCAACGUCUAUUGCAUUAUGCCGGCGAUAUAGAUCCGCACAAAUGCACCAGGCACUUUCCGUUCUACCAUCCUACUUGUUAUAAGAAGAAAAUUGGUGUUCAACGAAUUUAAUCCAUUAAUACUCUAAGUUGCAUCUACAAAACAUUUUGCUGUGCCUUUUGCAGUUGCAACUACAAAUGAUUUACAUGCAGUUCAACACCUUUAUCAGCAUGCUCAUUUGACUUUUAUAUUUUUUAUUUAUUUUUAAAGUUCAAUUUAACCCUUUGCCUUUGAAUUUUUGCAACAUUUGCAUCAGUGAUAGCUAACUGCUGCAAGGUUAAAUAACAAAAUUGAAAUAUUAUGGAUACUUUGCAUUUAAUGAUGCUUGAUUGUAAAUCUUAUAAUUAAAUUUAGAAUUCAUCUAAUAUACUAAAGAAUCCAACUAAAUUUGUA